CUCGGUAAGUAUACAGUAAUAUCUUUCUAAUUUUCCCUCUCUCCUGAAAUCUGGCAACAAUGUAUUCCAAGGGGGCUACAAUUAGCCGCUCCUGGCGGGACACGCCCAGACCGGGAGUGGCAACAUAGCUACUUCAUCGCUGUGACAGCAGACGGCGCGACGGUACUUCCGGGCAACAACACACAACAUCCGUGGCGUUGCCAGGGGAGAUGGAUUAUUAGUGAUUUGAUGGCGACGGUGCGAGGCGUUCAUUUAAAUUAUUGAAUUUUGCAUCGAUUGUAUUCUUCCUUAAAUUUAACCCUAACAAAGUAUUUAGAAAACUCGUCAUCCUCAUCGCUCUGAAAAUGUUUUCAGUUUCCUAAAAAAUUCCGGAUUUCCCCGUUUUAGACCAAACAGUUUCUAGCAAUCGUGUGCAAGAGCAAAAUGUUGAUGGAUUUUGUGUUAAACGUUAAAAUCCCGGUAUCGGUUCUAACUCAUUAACUCAAAGUGCGGCUCAACUCAACACAGUGUCACCCAGGCCUAGAGGUGUUUCAAGCCCGACUUUUCACGAAACAAGUCACGAGCUUCUUCCUGAUACUCCAAGUUCACCGUUCAUUUUUUCACAGGCACAGCGAACGCCUUGACCUGAAGACAUUAACCUUUUCAACAUUGAUGACGCGCUUGGAAAUUGCAGUUGAAUCUUAGGGUUGAUGACCAAAGCCAUCAACAUCACUGUCUUUUCCUUUGGGGACUCAGUUGUUUAACUAAAUGCCAAUACAGACAGACAUUCACAAGAGUCGUCAACUAUACGAUACCAUUGUUUGAAUCUUCUGUACGAACAAACUCUUUGGACGAUUAAAAAUUCCAUAUGCUACCAGGUUGUCAGUCGACAAUUGA